rnacentral:misc_RNA from 1 species
GGACAAGGUUAUUGAGAUAUUCAAAUAUGUGAAAUUAACACGUUUACUAGUUGAUUCCACCGUUACUGUAAUCGUUGAUGCUCGCUUUAUAGCACAGCUGUAGAUUUGCUAUUUAGUUAUUAAUUAAAUGCACGAAUUACGUAUAAGAAGAAAAAAUUGAUACUUGCGCAACAAUCGUACUUUGGUGAAUAAUUUAAAAAAGGAAACAUUCAUAAUAUAUAGUUAAAUAUUAUUCAUAAACUUAUAUUCAUAGACACGUCCCAUGAGAGAAGCUGACACAGACAUUAAAAAGAGAGAACAAUAGCUUUUCAGAAUUCCCGAAAAAGAAGAAAUAAAGGCAAGAUGGUUCACAAAUAUAGGCCGCGAAGUCGGUAAAUGCAGUACAGUUUGCAGUAAGCAUUUUAAACAAACAGAUUUUUAUUAUAAAAAACUUGGAGUAUAAUAAAAAAAAACUUAUUAUGACAAGAUUCCUAAAACCUACAGCUAUUCCAUCUUUGUCACUUAUUCAGUCUGACAGUAAAAAUGAUGUAAAAAUUGAAAUUGAAUGCGACAACUCGUUACAGAGUGUCUCUGAAACAAAGAAUUGCAAUGACUUUGCAAGUGCAAAAAAUCUGACAGAUAUAGCUAACAGAUUUGAUGAAAACAUUGAAUGUAGUGGAAUUAGUAAUGCAGAAAAUACAAAAAAUAAUGAAGUAACCGAAACAUCAACAUUAAAAAGUUUUCAAAAUGUGAAAAUUGAAAUUGAAUGCGACAACUCGUUACAGAGUGUCUCUGAAACGAAGAAUUGUAAUAACUUUGCAAGUGAAAAAAAUCGGACAGAUACAGCUAACAGAUUUGAUGAAAACAUUGAAAUCGUUGUAUCAUCAAAUGACUCAGAAUGUAGUGGAAUUAGUAAUGCAGAAAAUACAAAAAAUAAUGAAGUAACCGAAACAUCAACAUUAAAAAGGACCGCAGACGAGCCUGUUAAGGGCGCAAAGUCUUUUUGUAAUCCACAAUAUGUAAGAGAUUUACAAAGAGAAAAUUUUACUUCUGAUAAAAGCUGGAAAGUUGUCAACAAAUUUGUGCAUAAGUCAAGAAAACAAAAAAAAAUUUUAUAUCUA